UGGGGAAUAUUGGUCAAUGGGGGAAACCCUGAACCAGCAACGCCGCGUGAAGGAAGAAGGCCUUCGGGUUGUAAACUUUUUUGACGAGGGACGAUAAUGACGGUACCUCGAAAACAAGCUCCGGCUAACUACGUGCCAGCAGCCGCGGUAAUACGUAGGGAGCGAGCGUUGUCCGGAAUUACUGGGUGUAAAGGGCGCGUAGGCGGGGAUACAAGUCAGAUGUGAAAUAUCCAGGCUCAACCUGGGGGCUGCAUUUGAAACUGUAUUUCUUGAGUGAUGGAGAGGCAGGCGGAAUUCCGAGUGUAGCGGUGAAAUGCGUAGAUAUUCGGAGGAACACCAGUGGCGAAGGCGGCCUGCUGGACAUUAACUGAUGCUGAGGCGCGAAAGCGUGGGGAGCAAACA
rnacentral:rRNA from 1 species